UACAGAGGUCCCAAGCGUUGUUCGGAUUCACUGGGCGUAAAGGGUGCGUAGGCGGUUGGGUAAGUCUGACGUGAAAUCUCCGGGCCUAACCCGGAAACUGCGUUGGAUACUAUCCGGCUAGAGGAAUGGAGGGGAGACUGGAAUACUUGGUGUAGCAGUGAAAUGCGUAGAUAUCAAGUGGAACACCAGUGGCGAAGGCGAGUCUCUGGACAUUUCCUGGCGCUGAGGCACGAAAGCCAGGGGAGCAAACGGG
rnacentral:rRNA from 1 species